rnacentral:piRNA from 1 species
UGGUAGACCUAACCCUCAGGUUUGAGAAU